rnacentral:rRNA from 1 species
CACUCCUGCGGGAGGCAGCAGUGGGGAAUAUUGGACCAUGGGCGCAAGCCUGAUCCAGCCAUGCCGCGUGAGUGAUGAAGGCCCUAGGGUUGUAAAGCUCUUUCACCGGUGAAGAUAAUGACGGUAACCGGAGAAGAAGCCCCGGCUAACUUCGUGCCAGCAGCCGCGGUAAUACGAAGGGGGCUAGCGUUGUUCGGAUUUACUGGGCGUAAAGCGCACGUAGGCGGACUAUUAAGUCAGGGGUGAAAUCCCGGGGCUCAACCCCGGAACUGCCUUUGAUACUGGUAGUCUUGAGUUCGAGAGAGGUGAGUGGAAUUCCGAGUGUAGAGGUGAAAUUCGUAGAUAUUCGGAGGAACACCAGUGGCGAAGGCGGCUCACUGGCUCGAUACUGACGCUGAGGUGCGAAAGCGUGGGGAGCAAACAGGAUUAGAUACCCCAGUAGUCCC